AUGCAGGCACUUCUCUCACACACACUAAUAUUGCGCUGUAUUGAUUCUGGUUGCCAUGCCAGAUGCUCUCGCCUGCAGCAGACUCUACUUCUCAUUUUCUUCCAGACAGACACAGAGCAAGGUAGCUGCGUCUUCACCCGUCUGUCAACAUCAGAACAGACACGCUCUUUGUUUUUCCUUGGUACUGAUGAUCUGCUUGUGGGUAAUCAAGUUUGUGCAAUAACUGAUGUUCAUCUCAUUUUGUAACCCUGUUUUAAUGGUUGACAUGAAAGCAAAAUAACCUUAUUUUUGUAAAGAAACCUGAAAAGAGUAAAAAGAUGUCGGUGUACGAAACACUCAGCUGGGAGCUGACCGUUUAUCCACUCCUUGUGGACCCAACACUACUGCAACCUCUGAGGGUCAAACCACAAUGUCCAGAACUGUUUUUCACAUCGAAAUUUCAAGCAUUGUUUUUGUACAUCAUGAUGAAUAAAUAAGAUUUUAACGAACAAGUGUUUUGUUGGAGUGUGUUUCAGCCUCCAGCAGCUUCUCCUUCCUGUCAGCAACAGCUGACAAGCAGCUGGACUGAUGUUUUUGUCCUUCAUUUUUCUUCCCUGUGGAGAGGCUCACAGGUCUGCAACAGACUCAGAUUUAUCUCUGAACCAUCAGGCAGUGGUGGCAAUGCACUCAUGAAGCACCUCAUUUAGAGUUUUAUGAAACGGGUUUAGCUGAUGCUAACAUGAUGGUGUUUUUACAAAACGACCAAAGUUUAAAGACUUUUUUCAACACAAUGUCAAUAAAGAGUAAAUUAUAACAAAUAUUGACCGACAUUUUUGUUGACAAAUAACCCACCAAACAACCACCAUUGCAUGCACUUGCAGAUAAGGUCUAUAUUGAAUCCGUCAGUCUAGAACAAUUCUAGACGUUUGCUGGACGUGCAAAUCAGGUCCAUUAUUUGGACGUCUAACUAUGACCCCACUUGGAUGUCAGUAUAACGUGAAACAUGUGGACCUUGGGUUGGGUAACUGUUUUGAAGUUCAUGGGGAUGUCUAAAACGGGUGCGAAAAUACCAUCCAUCCAUUUUCUGAACCUGAUUGUUCACAUAGGGUCGUGGGCUGCCUGGUGCCUAUCUCCAGCGGUCAACGGGCAAUCAGGCGGGGUACACCCUGGACAGAGUGCCAGUCCAUCACAGGGCAACACAGAGACACACAGGACAAUCACACACUCACACCUAAGGACAAUUUAGACAGACUAAUCAACCUAACAGUCAUGUUUUUGGACUGUGGGAGGAAGCCGGAGUACCCGGAGAGAACCCACGCAUGCACAGGGAGAACAUGCAAACUCCAAGCAGAAAGAUCCCAGGCUGGGAAGCGAACCUAGGACCUUGCUACAAGGCAACAGCUCUAACCGCUGCGCAGCUGGUUCGAAAAUACCAUUAAAAAUAUUUUUGCUCAACGUUCAAAGACACAUUGUAGUGACAUCAUAUCCAGGGGUCUCAUUUUUCAAUCAUUGCGUAGAAUCUUUACUAAAACCGUACAUAAGCUCAGCAAAAAAAAUUUACUCACGCCAAGCAGGUUUCUGAUCUAUCAAACAUGGAGUACGCACAGCUGCACGCAAUCUCUGCUUCAUAAAUCGGAGACUAACGACAAUGUUUCUCAGCUGCAUUUUAGUCACAUCCCGCCCUCACC
ensembl:lncRNA